GAUGAACGCUGGCGGCGUGCUUAACACAUGCAAGUCGAACGAAGCACUCUAUUUGAUUUUCUUCGGAAAUGAAGAUUUUGUGACUGAGUGGCGGACGGGUGAGUAACGCGUGGGUAACCUGCCUCAUACAGGGGGAUAACAGUUGGAAACGACUGCUAAUACCGCACAAGCGCACAGUAUUGCUUGAUACAGUGUGAAAAACUCCGGUGGUAUGAGAUGGACCCGCGUCUGAUUAGCUAGUUGGUGGGGCAACGGCCUACCAAGGCGACGAUCAGUAGCCGACCUGAGAGGGUGACCGGCCACAUUGGGACUGAGACACGGCCCAAACUCCUACGGGAGGCAGCAGUGGGGAAUAUUGCACAAUGGGGGAAACCCUGAUGCAGCGACGCCGCGUGAACGAAGAAGUAUUUCGGUAUGUGAAGUUCUAUCAGCAGGGAAGAUAAUGACGGUACCUGACUAAGAAGCACCGGCUAAAUACGUGCCAGCAGCCGCGGUAA
rnacentral:rRNA from 1 species